GGAAAGCCCAGCAGCCGCUCUGACCUGAGCUGGCCCGAGGGACCAGGAAGAGUUUGUGAUGUGGCUCAAACUGCCUGGGCCACCCCAGCCCCACUUGGGGGGGUGGGCAGCAUCUCUGGGAGGCCCCGCCCUUCUCUGUGGGUGGGGAAGGACCACCCUCCUGGGCGGAUGGGAGAGAGUGUGCCCUACUCAGGACCCAUUCAAGAGCCUCACUGGGAGUUCCCAGCUCGGUGGGUUAAGGCUGGUCCCUCAUUUCCAGCAGAAAACUGUUUUCCUGGACUGUCUUUUUCUUGGCUUACGGAUUUGUGACUGCACUUUCCCAAGAAGUGUUGAAGCUCGGCUUACAUUUUUGUGUGGAGAACCAGCUAACCCCUUCCUCAAAGUUUUUUUGUGAGGAAAAGUAAUUUAAAUGUUUGAAAAAGAGUUGUAACCUGGUAAAGUGCCUCCGAAGGCUGCUGAGUGCCUCAGAGAGCAGGUACCGCGUGCUUGCUGCGUGUGGGUGUUCGGGCCAGGUACUUUGGGGUUAUGUGUGUCAACGUGGCCUGGUCCCUACCUGCCAUCACCUGGGGGGGGGGCUGUGAACAAUUCCUGUCAAUGUUGAUAGGAGACAGUGAGACUGUGCCAUCAACGGUAGUCUCCGUGACCCUGGACCCUCAGAACAAGCCUGCGAAGUAGGUACUGUCAUAGUACCUUCUAUGAGUAUCCCCAUUUAACAGAUGAGAAACUGAGGCCCAGAGGGAUGAAGUAGCUUGUCCAGGAUCAAAUACAUAGCAAAUACUGGAACUGGGAUUUGCAGCUGGCAAUUGAGAAGGAGGCUGGAAUCCAGAGCAGAGGGUUCUGGAGUUCAGAGGGGAGCCCAGCUUCCCACGGGGAGCGGGGGUGACUGGAUGAGGGCAUGAGAAGGUGGAAUCCAGGCAGGUCUGGAGUCGAGGAGCCAGUCCAGGGUGAGACUGGCGGUGCAGCAGUGACGUGUUUCCUAGGCAGCCUGCAGGGAAGACUGAAAGUGCCCCAUGUUUGGGGGUGGGGGAGACGCUGAUGAGAGUCUGGGGAGCACAGGAGGGGCACAGGGAGAGGUGGAGCUGUGGCACUCAACUGGGGCUCCCGGGGACUUUUUUUUUGGCCACCCGCAGUAUAUGGAGUUCUGGGCCAGGGAUUAGAUCCCAGUUGCAGGUGCCACCUAGCCUGCAGCUGUGGCAAUGCCAGCUCCUUAAUCCACCGUGCCGGGCUGGGGUUCAAAUCUGUGUCCCAGUGCUCCUAAGACACUGCCGAUCCCAUUGCACCACAGGGUUUGACUUUUAAUGCAGGGGUGACAGAUGGCUGGUCUGUCCACAUGCUGUCACAUGGGCAGCUCCUACGGGUCACCAGCACCCUUCCUCCGUUUCUUCAAGGGACAAAGUGACUUUGCUCUAGAGCAGAACACUGAUCGUCCCACACAUAUGUCCCAACUUUUGUUGCUGUCGCUGUGAGGUUUUUAAACUGGAGACCAUUUCACUUUCACACACCAACCACAAUGUCUGAAUAAAUUGGUUAAACUUGUAGAUUUAUAUCCGCA
ensembl:lncRNA